rnacentral:rRNA from 1 species
UACGAAGGGGGCUAGCGUUGUUCGGAAUUACUGGGCGUAAAGCGCACGUAGGCGGAUUGUUAAGUCAGAGGUGAAAUCCCGGAGCUCAACUUCGGAACUGCCUUUGAUACUGGCAAUCUAGAGUCCGGAAGAGGUUAGUGGAAUUCCCAGUGUAGAGGUGAAAUUCGUAGAUAUUCGGAGGAACACCAGUGGCGAAGGCGGCUCACUGGCCCGUUACUGACGCUGAGGCACGAAAGCGUGGGGAGCAAACAGG